UUCUGUUUAUUUAUUUAUUUACUCUUUUUAUUUUUUUUAUAUUGUUUUAUUAUAUAUUUCAAUAUCAUAUUAUUAUUCACAUAUCAUAUGGAUGAGAUUGUUACAUGUGUGAAUCUAAAACCCAAGCUUGAGGAAAAAGUAAUAAGUUUAAGUAAGGGAUUGUCCUGUCUUGGCCACUUGGCUUCUCAUCCCGUGGGAUCUUUGAUGACGAUUCCGCCUAGAGUAAAUCAAUUCAAAGAGUUUGUCAUAACA
rnacentral:lncRNA from 1 species